GAGGGCGGCAGGCUCAUGGCGCCGGCGUCGCGGUUGCUCGCGCUCUGGGCGCUGGCGGCUGUGGCUCUACCCGGCUCCGGGGCGGAGGGCGACGGCGGGUGGCGCCCGGGCGGGCCGGGGGCCGUGGCGGAGGAGGAGCGCUGCACGGUGGAGCGUCGGGCCGACCUCACCUACGCGGAGUUCGUGCAGCAGUACGCCUUCGUCAGGCCCGUCAUCCUGCAGGGACUCACGGACAACUCGAGGUUCCGGGCCCUGUGCUCCCGCGACAGGUUGCUGGCUUCGUUUGGGGACAGAGUGGUCCGGCUGAGCACCGCCAACACCUACUCCUACCACAAAGUGGACUUGCCCUUCCAGGAGUAUGUGGAGCAGCUGCUGCACCCCCAGGACCCCACCUCCCUGGGCAAUGGUGAGGCAGCCCUAGGCGGCGGUAGGGGGUGGGGACGCUUGGAGUCUCCAGGUGCCAGGAUCCCUGUCCCCGCCGUCUCUGUUGGCAGACACCCUGUACUUCUUCGGGGACAACAACUUCACCGAGUGGGCCUCUCUCUUUCGGCACUACUCCCCACCCCCAUUUGGCCUGCUGGGAACCGCUCCAGCUUACAGCUUUGGAAUCGCAGGAGCUGGCUCGGGGGUGCCCUUCCACUGGCAUGGACCCGGGUACUCAGAAGUGAUCUACGGUCGUAAGCGCUGGUUCCUUUACCCACCUGAGAAGACGCCAGAGUUCCACCCCAACAAGACCACGCUGGCCUGGCUCCGGGACACAUACCCAGCCCUGCCACCGUCUGCACGGCCCCUGGAGUGUACCAUCCGGGCUGGUGAGGUGCUGUACUUCCCCGACCGCUGGUGGCAUGCUACGCUCAACCUUGACACCAGCGUCUUCAUCUCCACCUUCCUCGGCUAGCCAAAACAGCUGGCAGGACUGCCGGUCACACACCAGCACGUCCCACCUCGUGCUCACGGAUUUUAUUACACAGAUAGUGGCGGCAAUGGCCUCAGCCCAGCCCACCCUCACCUGCUUUUCCAGCCCACAAAGGGGGACGAUCACGGCCCAGCAAAAGCGAUGCUGAGAGGGGAAACAGUCCAGAGUCCAACAGCAGAACUUGGGGGAAGCGGUCGGGGUGGCCAGGAACAUAAACUAUGUAUAGGGGCCGGGGGCUUCUGCCCAGGGCUCCCCUGGACCAGGACGCCAGGUAGGGCAGGGAACCUCAGUAGUCCUCCACCCAGCCAUUCUCAGAGAUGAAUGCGUCAAUAACCUCCUUCAUAGCCAAGUUGGGGAUGAGCUGUUCCUGGGUCAGGGGGCUCCGGGUCACGGGGUCAAAAUGACCCACACGCUGCAGUGACAAGAAGGGCAGAGGGCAGUCAUGGGGCCCAGGACCAUGCCACUGGCCCUGCUCCCCCAGCCGCAGGCCUCACCUGCAGGUGCUCCUCGAUGUCCUUGCGGUCGUAGGUGAUGCCACUGGGCGUGAUGCACGGCUCCCGCAUCAGCUCAAAGCUGAUCUUGCCACACAGGUAGUCGGGGAUGUCUCGCUUCUGUGGCACAGGGGCACACGGUCAGAGGCUGAAAAGGGGCACUGCACGAGCACCUGCCAGCCAUCGGCAGCAAGCGACACACACUCACCUUCCUCUUCUCAUCCACCUGAGAAAAAAGCUCGUCCAUGUCCGCCAUGUACUUGUCCUGUGAAGAGUUGAGUGCUGUGCUUGGGGGAGACACCCCACCUCCCUCCUCCAUGGGGCACAGACCCAACACAAGGCGGGGAUGCUCCCACGCCACGUGCACACACACAGACCCACAUGUGGGUGGGGGGCACCCUCACGUGCUUGGCCUCAAUGCAGGCCUGCUGGGCCCGGACGUGGCUGUCGUCCUCAUCACCCUCGUGGUUUCGCUGGCACUCUUCCAGCUCCCUGGGGGUUGACCAGGAGCCGGUCAGAGAUGGACCUGGCCAGAUGUCUGACCACACCCCAAUCUCAGAGCUAACAUCCACACUUCCCCACAUUUCCUGCUUGCCAGUAAAGCCUUCGAUAAAC